AUAAAGUAAGCUAAUUUAAGCUAGUGGGUUCAUACCCCAAAAAUGAGUAAAACUCCUUUAUU
rnacentral:tRNA from 1 species